UCAACCUGCUUAAUGGACACCCGGUAAGAAAGGAAAAAUCCUGGCGGCUAUUCACGGUUCUCCGCUACCGCCGCCGCGCCGCUCGUGUCCCCAUCCAUGGCUUCGGAGGCGGGCGCCGCUCCUAUCCCCAUCCAUGGCUUCGGAGGCGGGCGCCGCCCCAUCCUUCCGCUCUGCCCCUCAACUCCUCUUCCCCGAAGGAACAGCUCCACCGCCGCCGCUCCAUCCCUCCGCUCCUCCCGUCAACUUCUCUUAUCCGGGCGCCUCCACCUCGUGCGUUGAGCAGCCGGUGUCCGGCAAGAUCUUUGUGGAACCGCUCGAGCCCGUCCAUGUAUGUGAGGAGGAGAAGGGAAGCAGUCCAGUUCGGAAGAAGGAGAAGGACGGCUGCCAGAUUCGGCAGAAGAAGAGACGGAAAAAGGGCAAUAAUAUUUCUGCUCCAUCAAUAGAAGGAACGAUACUGCCAGUAUAACAAGGAACAGUACCAUCGAAGUUGUUGAGAGCAAAGACUACAAGUUAAAUUCUUGUGUAUCCUCAUGUUGGCACUGCUGGGUGAUGAUAACAGUGCUCUUUGUUUACUCCUACUUUUUCUUUUAAAAAGUAAACCUUGUUGCGAAAAAAGCAAACCUCAUGUGGUUUCGUUGAUUGUUCCAGAUGGUAUGAUUGACAUGGCCAUUGUCACCAGGACCUUUGGACUUGUAGGGCUUGUUGCUAGUGGAAUCAUAACCGCUGCUUCAUCAUCCAGCAAGAAAUGAGGCUGUAGUAUGAAGUGAAUAAGAUGAUCAGAUGAACAAGAACUUGAUGUAAAGUUAUGAUCGUCCUUGAGUGCGAGAGGCUAUGCUCAUGUUGGAUCGUAUCCAACUUAACUCAGCUGCGUAUCAUUGGUUAUGACUUGUGAAGUGUUGUUUUGAACUGCUUAUACAUAUUUUGUAAUGGAUUUUCUUGUUUGUUA